GGAGCACAACAUUAUCUUUUCUGGUUCCAUUAUUAACAUGCAGAGUUCAUGAUUCAUUUUUCCUUACAUCAAAGUAGCUUUGACUUGCAUUUCCCAAAUUGGGAAUGCACGAGGAAUGAUGAGCAUUUUCUGAAGUAUCUCUCAGCUAUUUUUUCAUCUCCUGAGAAUGCUCUCUUCAGGUCCCAGACCCAUUUUUUAAUAGAUAUGAUUAUGAUUACUGUGAUUAUGAUUAUUGGUUUCUUGGUUCUCUAUAUAUUCUGGAUAUAAUCCCCCGGCAGACAUUGUACUGGCUUGCUUUACGUCAACAUGAUACAAACUAGACUCACUAGAGAGGAGGGAACCUCAAAUGAGAAAAUGCCUCCAUAAGAUCAGGCUGUAGGCAAGCCAGGAGGGCAUUUGCUUAAUCAGUGAUUGAUGGGGGAGAGCCCAGCCCAUUGUGGGCGGGUCCAUCUCUGGUUGGGUGGUUCUGGAUUCUAUCAGAAAACAAACUGAACAAUCUACAAGGAGCAAACCAGUAAGCAGCGUCCCCCCAUGGCCUCUGCGUCCGCUCUAAGCUUGUUCCUGCCUGUUUGGGUUGCUGUCCUGAAUUUCUCUAAUGAUGAACUUUGAUGUGAAAGUGUAAGUUGAACAAACCCUUUCCCCCCCAAGUUGCAUUGUUCAUGGUGUUUUAUCACACCAAUAGAAGCCCUAAGACAACUUGGCAUCAAGAUUGUGGGGUACACACAGGUCUGCUGGGAGAGACCCGACCGUGUUGUUUUGGGGAGGAUUGUGGAAGACAUUCGGAACUUUGGGCCAGAAAAGGCAUUGACUGUUUAAUGCUUGGUGAAGUCUUCUGCAGGAGCUUGGAAAAUAAGAGCAUUUAGGGCAACACAGACAAUAGAGGCCUGGUUUGGGAAGUUUCGGAGGAAAGGUUAAAGACUCUAUUGGGCCGUUUGUUAUUUUGAAUUAGUAGUCUGUGGUUCCGGUCAGCUGGGCUUGAAGAAUCAGCUGUGAUUAACAAGAAGAUAUUAGAACUACUAGAGUGAAGCCUUCUGUUCUGCCGGUCUCCUUGAUGCUGGUCAGGUGAAGCUGAGACACUAGUGGAGAUUAAGAAGAGACCAGCAUCACUGAGGCGAAAUCUUCUGGGAAAUGUUUCCUGAGAGUCAUCACAAUGAAUCUCUGUUCCGGGGUUGGUCAAGGUUGUACGUCACGCUGGUAGGCAGGCAGACCUGGUAGUGUGAGAGUCACACAGGUGGUGCUGGUUUUGACAGCAUGAAGAGCAGCUGAAGCUUGUCACUGUGAGAGGCAGGAAAGUCCAUGGUGAAGGUGCAGCCUCAACGGCAGUUGACCGAAGGGGCCAUGAAGAGAAGUUGAUGCUUGACACCAUGAAGAGAGCCUAUGAGAGGCUAUUGGUGAAAAUGAAGUCCAGCUGGCAGAAGAUCUGUCAUUUCGGAGAUGUCAAUACCAGGGGGUGACCACCAAGACAGCAGCAGCAGAGGAAUGAAGCCAGCCGGAGCCUAGAAGAAAGCUGUGUGUGCUAUAGAGGGCAGAGGGACCCAGAAGAUGCGAAACCUUCAAUUUAUGGUUGGAAGACGGAGGAACCCUUUAUGGCCCUGGCGUGUUGGAAACGAUUGAAAGAGAAGAAAUUUAGAAGGCAUGAGAGAUUCAUCGGCAAUACUUGGCCAGAUUUUCCCUAAUAUUCUUGAUAACUCUGGUCCAGGCAACAACACACAGGUUUUAAUGUUUUAAUUUA